AGUGAACGCUGGCGGUAGGCCUAACACAUGCAAGUCGAACGGCAGCACAGUAAGAGCUUGCUCUUACGGGUGGCGAGUGGCGGACGGGUGAGGAAUACAUCGGAAUCUACUUUUUCGUGGGGGAUAACGUAGGGAAACUUACGCUAAUACCGCAUACGACCUACGGGUGAAAGCAGGGGAUCUUCGGACCUUGCGCGAUUGAAUGAGCCGAUGUCGGAUUAGCUAGUUGGCGGGGUAAAGGCCCACCAAGGCGACGAUCCGUAGCUGGUCUGAGAGGAUGAUCUGCCACGCUGGAACUGAGACACGGUCCAGACUCCUACGGGAGGCAGCAGUGGGGAAUAUUGGACAAUGGGCGCAAGCCUGAUCCAGCCAUACCGCGUGGGUGAAGAAGGCCUUCGGGUUGUAAAGCCCUUUUGUUGGGAAAGAAAAGCAGCAGGUUAAUACCCCGCUGUUCUGACGGUACCCAAAGAAUAAGCACCGGCUAACUUCGUG
rnacentral:rRNA from 1 species